CUCAUCUGUAGAUUGUCCAUCGGAGAGGUCCGGUUUCAUGAGGAAUCCGACAUAGGGUCGUCCGACAGUGGAGUUCGGAUGGCACUGUGGAGGUUCAUCCGCUAGAGGAGUCUCGAGGAUACUAGGGAAGGUUGAAUGUUGGAGUCUGGGAUUCAAUUCUGUCAUAGAAGUUCAGACGGAGUCUGGCUUUUAUAGGAGUC
rnacentral:lncRNA from 1 species